rnacentral:tRNA from 1 species
GGUUGUGGCUCAGUGGUAGAGUGUUUACCUAGCUUGCAUGAGGCACUGGGUUCGAUCCUCAGCAUCG